GUGACGGUUCGGAUAUUGGGCGUAAGAGCUCGUAGGCGGUUUGUCGCGUCUGCCGUGAAAGUCCGGGGCUCAACUCCGGAUCUGCGGUGGGUACGGGCAGACUAGAGUGAUGUAGGGGAGACUGGAAUUCCUGGUGUAGCGGUGAAAUGCGCAGAUAUCAGGAGGAACACCGAUGGCGAAGGCAGGUCUCUGGGCAUUAACUGACGCUGAGGAGCGAAAGCAUGGGGAGCGAACAGGAUUAGAUACCCUGGUAGUCCAUGCCGUAAACGUUGGGCACUAGGUGUGGGGGACAUUCCACGUUUUCCGCGCCGUAGCUAACGCAUUAAGUGCCCCGCCUGGGGAGUACGGCCGCAAGGCUAAAACUCAAAGGAAUUGACGGGGGCCCGCACAAGCGGCGGAGCAUGCGGAUUAAUUCGAUGCAACGCGAAGAACCUUACCAAGGCUUGACAUGAACCGGUAAGACCUGGAAACAGGUCCCCCACUUGUGGCCGGUUUACAGGUGGUGCAUGGUUGUCGUCAGCUCGUGUCGUGAGAUGUUGGGUUAAGUCCCGCAACGAGCGCAACCCUCGUUCCAUGUUGCCAGCGCGUUAUGGCGGGGACUCAUGGGAGACUGCCGGGGUCAACUCGGAGGAAGGUGGGGACGACGUCAAAUCAUCAUGCCCCUUAUGUCUUGGGCUUCACGCAUGCUACAAUGGCCGGUACAAAGGGUUGCGAUACUGUGAGGUGGAGCUAAUCCCAAAAAGCCGGUCUCAGUUCGGAUUGGGGUCUGCAACUCGACCCCAUGAAGUCGGAGUCGCUAGUAAUCGCAGAUCAGCAACGCUGCGGUGAAUACGUUCCCGGGCCUUGUACACACCGCCCGUCAAGUCACGAAAGUUGGUAACACCCGAAGCCGGUGGCCUAACCCCUUGUGGGAGGAGCUGUCGAAGGUGGGACUGGCGAUUGGGACUAAGUCGUAACAAGGUAA
rnacentral:rRNA from 1 species